GAACAGUGUCUGAGAUUGCAGUGACAGAAUUUCCAAUGGCUCACAAAAAAAUCAACCCCUUGAUAAAGCCAAUAGCUGCCUUACAAACAGACUUGCCCUUCUGCUCCAGGGCUGGAUCCUCCCUGGGAUCCCGCAGCUGGUACCGAGCCCCUGCCCUGAUGGCAGAGGACCCCUGACAGAGCCAGGCACCUCGGGAAAAGCAGCUGAGAGGGCUGGGGCAUCACAAGUCCCUAUCUACCAGGAGACGAAUUCUCUCCCAGCUAUUUCCAUCAUUUAGCUUCCCCAGUAACUUAGUAAACCUUAAGACUCAGACCAAACAGUGCCCAUGGGAACUUCCCAGCACGUGGCAAUUUUCUUCCGGUUCACAUGAUGAGCACCAGGGUAUUUCUCUCCAAUGAGAAACAU